rnacentral:lncRNA from 1 species
GACCACAUUCUGGUAAAAUGUGGCUGACAUUUAAAUUAUGCUCCUUGUAUCUGUUUUCUUCAGGCAAAGUGUUCUGGAAUCCCCUCUGCAGGUUGCCCUGAGCACGAUGAUGCCCUGUAGCAGCUUGAAGUGGGAGGUAUUCUCUUUUGAACGGGAGAGUUGUGUGUCACCCUAGAUCCCCAGAAACACACCCUACUUGUACGGGCAGGAUCCAACUCAGACUUGAUGAAGCAACUGGUCUAUCAAGCAUUGAUGAGGCAAGCAGGAAACCUAAUGAAAAUAAUACAAGGAAAUCUUUUCAUCAACACCCACCCCUUAAUGUCUCAGCUAUCAGGUCAUUGUGUUUGCUUCUCUCCAUGGAAUACUCAUCUGCAGCCAACGUCGGAAGCUCUGAUUUUAAACAA